GGCGGGUGCUAACGUCCGUCGUGAAGAGGGAAACAACCCAGACCGCCAGCUAAGGUCCCAAAGUCAUGGUUAAGUGGGAAACGAUGUGGGAAGGCCCAGACAGCCAGGAUGUUGGCUUAGAAGCAGCCAUCAUUUAAAGAAAGCGUAAUAGCUCACUGGUCGAGUCGGCCUGCGCGGAAGAUGUAACGGGGCUAAACCAUGCACCGAAGCUGCGGCAGCGACACUCAGGUGUUGUUGGGUAGGGGAGCGUUCUGUAAGCCUGCGAAGGUGGCCUGUGAGGGUUGCUGGAGGUAUCAGAAGUGCGAAUGCUGACAUAAGUAACGAUAAAGCGGGUGAAAAGCCCGCUCGCCGGAAGACCAAGGGUUCCUGUCCAACGUUAAUCGGGGCAGGGUGAGUCGACCCCUAAGGCGAGGCCGAAAGGCGUAGUCGAUGGGAAACGGGUUAAUAUUCCCGUACUUGGUGUUACUGCGAAGGGGGGACGGAGAAGGCUAUGUUGGCCGGGCGACGGUU
rnacentral:rRNA from 1 species